rnacentral:lncRNA from 10 species
AUGGUAGCAGUCAUUAUCAUCUGUGCUUGGCUAAUCCUUCAUAUUCACCUUCGCACGCAUUUUGAUUGGGGAGCCUCCCCAGAUACAGGUGAUGUAAGACGAGCCAUUGGACACGUGAGCCUGAUGCCAUCCCAGACACCUGCUGUGCCCCAAAUGCGCUGGGCCAACUGGGUAUAUGUACGCAGGGCGAAGGUAGGUUCCUCUCCAAGAAGGCUCAACUACAGGGUUUCCAGGAGCCUUGAACAGAGCACAGGUGAAGAGAAGAUGGGUUAUGCAGGCGCCGGCCACACAGCUGUUCCCAGGGACCCUUUAGGAGCGCUUGUACCGGCCACAGGAAACAGCAAAGGAACGGCAGCUGAAUCAGGAAAAGGGGAUUUCUAAACGGGAGUCACGUUCCUAAUGGGCUGUUCCUGCGGCUCUAGCUCAGAGGUUGUUUCUUCAGGUGUGGUCCUGAGAUCAGCAGCAGCCACCUCACCUGGACACUCACAAGAAAGACAAACCAUCUGCCAGCCCGCCCCUGACCUGUGGAACCAGAAACUCUGGGCUUGGGUGGAGGUCACAGCCCUUGCUUAGCUUCGACCUCCUCCUCCAAACUGGGCAUAACAUCAUCCACCUGGCAGGGCCAUUGGGAGGAUGACAUGAUAUAAUACUGCUGAAAUGUGAAAGCAAAAGACUGCUUCUCUUUAGUGAAGCUCUAUUCACUGUCGAGGCUUCAGUGUACGGGGGCGCAUCCCACGGGCAUUGUCUCCAGCUGCCCGGGUGGGUUUCAUUCCAGUACUACACUCUGCUUCAGACUUACCGAGAGCCAUUCUCCAUAGCAGGACUUUCCUAUCCUCUAUUUGGGAGAUUCCUUGGUCAAUGUCUGUGUCACUGAGUCUCACUGAUUAGACAAUAGGCCCCACAAUGGGAGACACCUGGCUUUUUUUAUUCCAUUGGAUACUUAAUGACUAUAGCACAGUAUAUAAUCAGUAAAUAGUUCUUGAAUUAAUGCAUGAGAAGUCCCUGAAAAUAGUCCCUGAACUUUUUAAAUAAUCAUGCAAACAAGAUCCAAAGAAAUGUCACAAAUAUCUCUUAACUCCUUAAAAACAAUUCCAGACACCUAGAAUGGGCAAAGCAGUGUGCUAAGUCACCUUUCUCUUGAGAUUGGUCACCAAUAAAUCGUGAAGGCGAGUGCCUGGGCCAUUAAAUAUUGCCUCAGCCAGCCACCCUCUGCCAUAAUUUAACCACAUUGUCCUGAGCUUGACCCUUCUGUCUUUAUCUCUGUGCACCGGGGGCACCUUGCGGACUCUGACUUUAACUCUGGUACCCUUGCACCUGUUCUGCCACCUGCCCCUCCACCGGGUUACUGGUUCUCUGUUCCUGAAUUGUGAGGCUGCCUUGGGGUGAUUCUUUCUGUUUUAUCUUCAGCUGCUAUGGAGCAUUUUCUCUCUCUCAUUCAUAUGUGUGUGUGUUUACAAACACAUACCUAUAUUUCUUGUAUGCAAUGUGAGUAUAUAUAUAAUGGCAUAUAGAUACAUAAAAACAUAUAUCAAUAUAGAUAGGUAUAAAUAUAUAUCAAUAAAGAUUUUUAUUUCAUGAUGAAUAAAAAUAUAUAUCAUGUAUAUAAUGUAAGUAUGUAUAAUGGCAUAUAGAUAGACACAAAUAUAUAUCAAUAAAGAUAGGUUAUGUCCAUGUUUGCUUUUUGUCUUCUGAUAGUGGAAAAGGUAUGACUUUCUGAGUCUAUUUCUGUCAAUUAGCAAUUAUCAAAAGGCAUUUAGAUGAUUCAGCUAUAACUGACUUCAAAAUGCCAAAUAUGUUGCAGUCUGAUUUCCCAAUGCUUGAGAAAUUGGGAUGUGACAACAAACUGCCAGGACGAUUGUCAGUUGCGCAUGUCCUACUCUAUGACAGCUGGACUUUGGUACUUCCCAGAAAAAUACCAAAAGACAUGGAGUCUGCAGAGGUCCUAGAAUUCUUGGGGUGCUUAGUGCCUGACACAGUGCUUCUCAAAGUGUGGUGCCUGGACCAGCAGCAUAAGCAUCACCAGGGAACCUUUCAGAAAUACAGACUCUGGGGCCCUACACCAGAUCUACUAACACAGAAACUCUGGAGCUGGGCCUAGCAAUAUAAUAUCUGGCAAGAUAAACUGUACCCACUAGGAGUUUGGGGAAAAAAAAAAAAAAUAUA